rnacentral:rRNA from 1 species
UACGUAGGGUGCAAGCGUUGUCCGGAAUUAUUGGGCGUAAAGAGCUCGUAGGCGGUUUGGAUAGUCGGGUGUGAAAACUCCGAGCUCAACUCGGAGACGCCACCCGAUACUGCCAUGACUAGAGUCCGGUAGGGGAGCAGGGAAUUCCUGGUGUAGCGGUGAAAUGCGCAGAUAUCAGGAGGAACACCGGUGGCGAAGGCGCUGCUCUGGGCCGGUACUGACGCUGAGGAGCGAAAGCGUGGGGAGCGAACAGG